UCUGUCCAUGGGGGUGGGGUGGGGCAGUGGCCAAUCAGAGGAGUUCGUACUGCCGCAGGUGCAUGCGCUGGAUGAUGUCACGACAGUCGUUGAAUACGCGGCGGAUGUUCUCAGUGUCGACGGCACAGUGACCCCAGCCCUGACUCCUCCCCACCCCCCACUCACCUGUUCCUGAUUUCACCUUUUACCUGCUCUUCCUGUUCGAUGUUUCUGCCUCAGCAGAAACUCGUCUCUGAUGAAGAACUUGGCUCGAGUCACUCUGGGGUCUUCAUCAGCAUCUGGAACACCUGGAAACAAACGCACGGACGUUUGUGCGUUACCUGUACACGUGUGGUGGUACCUGUGCUGAUGGACGGCUGUGAGCAGCGAUGAGGUGUGCUGCUGACACUCUUUCAGAGACUGGAGGACUUCCUGUUCAGCCUUCUGCCAGCAGCCCUGACAACAGUUGACUUCAUUAGAUGAUGCCAGUGACAGAAGCAGUGAUCAGUGACCUCACAGCCGAGCAGGCUCCUCUGUCUUUACGCGUGGCCCCGCCCCUCCACCGGAUAGCUCCUCCUCCUGAUCUGUAGAUGGCCCCACCCCCUCAGGUGACCUCUCUAAGACCAGG